rnacentral:rRNA from 1 species
CCCUUAGAUGUUCUGGGCCGCACGCGCGCUACACUGAGUGGAUCAGCGGGUCAGGUUGCGCGAAAGUGUUUCCUAAUCUUUAAAUCCGCUCGUGAUGGGGAUUGACGGUUGCAAUUUUCCGUCAUGAACGAGGAAUACCUUGUAAGCGCGGGUCAUCAUCCCGCGCUGAAUACGUCCCUGCCCUUUGUACACACCGCCCGUCGCUCCUACCGAUUGAGUGGUCCGGUGAGGCUUUGGGAUCUGAGCGGAAAGAGCGUUUCGCUGUUUCUGCUCGGAAAACUCAGUCGAACCUUAUCAUUUAGAGGAAGGAGAAGUCGUAACA